UAGGGAAUCUUCCACAAUGGGCGGCAAGCCUGAUGGAGCAACACCGCGUGAGUGAAGAAGGGUUUCGGCUCGUAAAGCUCUGUUGUUGAAGAAGAACACGUAUGAGAGUAACUGUUCAUACGUUGACGGUAUUUAACCAGAAAGCCACGGCUAACUACGUGCCAC
rnacentral:rRNA from 1 species